GCCAUCUAUCUCGUCGAUGAGUCUCAUCUCACUCUCUGCCCUAACCCAAAACCCCAGUCCCCAAAUCGCGACUCAGCCUACGGUCCUCCGUAGCCCCGCCCUAGUCUGUAGUCUCUGGCUCUCUCACCCUCUGCCCUAACACAACUACACAAGCCGCAAAGGUUAACUUUGACGAUCACAAAAAGGGGCAUCAUUUGAUACACUCCUUGAAUUCCAAAGGUUAACUCACUUAGACUUGUUUAGCUUCUUGAUUAAUUUUAUUGAUUUUUAAUUCAGUUAAUGAGUGGAAACUGGAAAUUGUUUGUUUGUUUGUUUUUUUUGGGAUUUUUUUGAUGGAUGAUUAAUUCUUGGAAUUUCUUUUCUGGGUACUUUUAAUUUUACUUUGUUAAUUUCUGUAGAUUUUUUGGUUGAUCGGAAUUCCUCAGUGUUGGUUAAUGCAUAUGCUCUAUCAGCAACUGUAUUUUUUAGUUAAAUCUUUUUGUUAGCUGUUAGGACCCCAUGCAUCAUAUCAUUUGAUCUGUUAGCUGUUGCUUUAUGUUUAUAACUUUUUAUAGAAGGAAUUUCUAUGAUCAUUUGAUUCUGAAAGAGGAUUCUGCUAUUUAUCAUCUGCUUUUUUAAAUUUUAGCUGUAAAAGAAAUUUUGCUUAAUCUUGUUUUUUAUUAUAAAUUUUGCUGCUAAGAAAAUGACAAUAUGCACCUUUGCUCCAUACAAUUCACCAAUUCUCCUCCUAACUAGCCAUUUAAUUCUAAAAUUUCAAAUUAUAUUGGGAAUUGUUACUUUUAGAAGGAGAGUUUGAUAUUUUUGGAAUAUUCCCUCACCUCUUGGUGCAUUUAUCUUUACUUGGAGAUUCUUGUUCACAAAUAUAACUAUUAAAUACAAUUUAUAUCGUCACAAAAUGCAUCCUAUUUUGUCCCAACACAAAUAAGAGGUUGUCUUAAAAAUAUUUUGAGUACUGCUGUCUAUAUAAUAGACGUUUUUGACCAAAGCUCACUUUUUAAUUAAAGUAAUGAUUGGUCAUUGUAAAGUGUAAAAUUAAGCCUAAAUUACUAAAUUGCCCUUGUUUUUUUUUUUGGUAGUAAUAAGUAAGAGUUCAUCGAUGUAGUAUCAGUACUAACAUGCAACCUUUGCUAUUCUCCAUGAAUUUUUUCUUAAACCUGAAUAAAGUCACUUUAAUAUCCCUCCUUUUCUUAUCAUCCUACCUCCCUGCUCCAAAAAAAUGAAGUUUAAAUUUACUCUUUUUUUAAAAAAUUAAAAAUUUAAAAUCUUGCCUCUACUUUUGAAUUGAUUUGUUAUUUUUUUUAUUUCCCUCCAUUUUUUCAUUCUAUAAAAGUGUAGUAUUGUUCAUGAUAUCUCAUGAAGAAAAAAAAUAGCCUUAAGUUUAGCAAUAAUACAUUAUGGUUACUAUACGAGAAUUUGAUUUGAAUUUUUUGCCAAAUAUUGAAGAAUUUCCGGUGAAUGAAAUCAACUUAAAUAUAGAUUUGAAUGUUCUGGCAAGUAACGGGGAGAUUUCGGCGUACACUAUCGGCUACAACAUCGAUUUAAAUGAUCCUCUAUUGUUUGAUCCAAUUAUAGGUUUUUUGUUUGUUACUUAUUUUACGAUCACAUUUUUACUUGGAUUUCUUUUAGUUUUUGAGGUCACGUUGUUGUGAUAUUUAUUAAAAUAACAAUCUUAUUUUGUAUGUGGAUACAUAAUAUGGCAUGAACCUUGCAUGAAAUUAAUGGAUAUGAAUUAUUCCUAAUACACAUGCAUUAUGUGAACAGCAAGGGAGUUUUUUUAGUUUUAUAGACAAAGUACCCCUUAGUGGAGAGGUGGAAAUUAUACUAGUGAUUUCAUAUUACAUAGUUCUACACACCAUUUUAUCUUAUAAUUAGUGUUAAGAGUACAAUCUUAUGAGAUUAAAUUUUGUAUGACUAAUAAUAAGAUGAAAUAUGGCCGUUAGUUGAUAUUGUUAGUAAAAAUAAUGUUGACAGUUUAAGCAAAUAUACAUUUAAUGUCACUUUUAUAAUUAUUCUAAUGAUACUUAGCAUUUUAAAUGAAGCUUAUUAUUUGAACAACAUAAGUUAACCAACUAAUAAUCUAUUCUUAUCCAUUAGUAUUACAAAAAACAUAACAAGUAGAUUUGAAGUAAAUUAAAUGUACUUAAAAUUUUAGUAUUUACAUUGCGCUUAUAAUAUUUAAUGUAGUGUUAGGAAUAUGCAAAGUCACCUCAUUUAAUUAUAAUAUUUUAGAAUACAUUGCGCUUAUAAUAUUUAUUGUAGUGUUAAGAAUAUGCAAAGUCAUCUCAAAAGUUUAAAAUCUUGUAGUUUCUUUAAUAUUUUUCUCUCAAUAUAAAUUUUAUAAAUACAUUGUUUAACACAACUCAUGUAAUCCUCAACCAAUUCAAGUGAUACCUUCUCUUCUUCCUCUAGCAAAUAUUUUAGAUAGAUAUUUUAGUUCAUCUUAAACCUUUAAUGAAACAUAGUAUAUAUUUUUUGCAAUAUGUAGAUAAUUAUUACUAUAUGGAGGCAAGUUUCUUAAGAAGGGACCUAAAAAAUUUACAACUUAUUACAAUUUGGAGUUUAUUCCUAUUUAUAACUGACUCAAGUUGGGACCAAUUUUUUUUAUUACUAUAUGGAGGCUAUUCCUAUAUAGAGUAUUACUAAAUAGAGGUUUUACUGUAUGGAAUUGAUAUUUCCACAUCACUAAUUGAUAUUUCCGUAAGUAGACCCUACUCCAUAACAAAACUCAUCGGUUUGUACCCAUUUUACCCUCAUUUGACAAAAUACCCAAAUGCGCUGCCUUCCUUUAUUUUGAUGGUUGAUUUGGGAGAAUGAAUUUAAACUCGUGAAUGAAUUGGGAGCUAUGUAUCGAAACAGUAGCUUUGAAUGGUGCAGAGUAGAGAGAGAAAGUAAGCUGCGGAAGAGGAGGGGGUGAAAUUAUAUCAACGGAAGUAAAUUUGGCAUAAAUAACUGUAAAUAGGGACCACUUGCGGAAAUAUCACUUCCCUUUACUGUAUAUGACAAUUAUUUCUCUUUACUUUGAAAGUAUAUAUUUUCGUUAUUAGGAAAAAGUCGAUCAACCAUUUUGUCCAUAUAUCCAGAUGAAUUUUAGGGGGUUUUUGAUAAAAACUGAAUGAAUCUGAAUAUCUGAAUCUGAAUGAGCUGAAUCUGAAUGAAUAAAAUUGUUUGAUAAUUGACACGUAUUUUUAUUAUUUUACCCAUUUAAAAAAAUUCAAAAUUGUUGUAAAUUUAUUUAAUAUAAUAGUUAAUAUUGUAAAAAAAAAAACUUCAUUAAGCCUUCGUUCAGCUCAUUCAGCCAAAAAAAUGACACUAAAUCAUUUAGCUCAAAUCGUCUGAAUGGCUGGCCGAUUCAGCCAUUUAAAUGAUUUUUUUUUUAAAACAAACGUAUUGAAUGGCUGACCGUGACUGAUUCUGUCAUUCAGUCAUAAACAAACAGACCCUUAAACUUAUUUCGGCCUUAUCCCGUUUAGCUUAGUUCGUAUGUGUGAACAAGUAUGUCUCGGAUUAUAUCAUGGGGUGAAACAGGUAAGAAGUUUGUGAUAGAUGUAGAUGCCUGGAUGGAUCUUCGAGCAGCUGGUAAAUAUGACUGCUUGUAAUCAUACUACAUGAUUUUUUAAUCCUGCAUUUGUUUUAGGAAGUAAUUUGAUAUGUUUCAUAGCUCUCUCAUAUAAUUUCCAUACUACUUGCAUAGUUGUGUAGCUAAGUUCAAACAACCUCUUAUGAAAAUGAAUCCUUAUGAUAUUUCAUUGUCGGCCUGGGGGUGUAGUAAGCUUCUAUACUUUUGUAUGGGAUUCAUUUCGGCUAAAAAUUAUAGAGUUGUUUAAGUCUCAGUUUCUUCACCUCUAUCUUUCUCUUUCGACUAUCCCCUUUUGCUCUUCCAUAAAUUAAGAGCUAAUGCCAAAGUUUCUGAAAACCAAUAACAUCCGUAAUGCCCCUUACUGGUUUGGCUGAUAAUUGAAUAAGAGCCUUGAAUGAAAAUGUUUCUACCUCAUGAACUUAUCUAUUGGUUUUUAUGAGUAGCGAUAGACAUACAUUCCCUACGUCUGCAGAUAAAGGUGUAAAUGAACCGAACCGAGUCGAGCCGAGCCGAGCAAUGAGUUGCUCGGAUUUGGUUCACAAAAUUUAUGGAGUAUUUUAGUAUAAAAUAAGGUUUGAUUGAGGCUCGUUUUGCUACUGAGUUGAACACGAUCUCGAAUCGAGCCCGAACAGUUUGAAUUUUUCGAACGUUGAUCCGGAUAUCAAAAGAAAUUACAAUUUGAAGAGGUUCGAGUAAUUUUUCGAACUUUAAAUUUUGCUCGUAUUUGAAUCAUUUAUAUCUCGAAUACGAAUCGAGCCGAACUGUUUGCUCAUUUUACAGCCUUAUUCCGGAAAAUCUUAAUGUUAACGAAUCUUAUAUUAUACCUGAUUCAUUGUUGUUGAAGUUGCAAGGAUUAUCAGAUAUUAAACCUACAUCUCUUAAAAUAUUGUUGCUUGUACAAUCAACUUUGUUUUAUGCUACAACCUUAUUUUUCUUGGUUUAUGAAAAAUCAGAAUAUUUUACUCUUACCCUGAAAUCAUUGGUUGAUGAAUUUCCUAAUUGAAAAAAUUAACUUAGCUUUGCUUGCAUAUAGUAUGUCUACUUUUAGAUAUGUUGUAACUGAAGUUUUUCUUUUCCUCAUAAAUCAUAUCAUGAGCGAUCAAUGUGAAAUUGUAGUUCAAACAUCGUCAUAUUCUUAUUCUAAUUGUUGAAACUGUGACUCUCAGCAUUGUUAGAGAAGUAGUGGAGGGAACACCCCCAGAAUCUUUUAGAAACCGUAGCUCAGCUCAUAGCGUCCGCAACUCUGACCAAGCACCCGUGGAUAUCUUUUGUCCGUGUGCAGGUUCAGAAGCCUCGUGUUAAUUUUUGUUCCCGGUCCUGUUGACUUUUUGGGAGUUGAGAUUACCAGAUAUAGAAGCAUUGAUGGCCCAAAUUAAAAGUUUUUUAGCAAGUUAUAUACCUGCUGCCGCUGCCCCUUUUGGUAAAUACAAGUUAUGUAAAUUUGUUACCUUGGAUAUGUUCCAAUUAAUGGUUCUAAAUUAUGGUUUAUGGUCGUAAUGGAUCUGCAUCGACUUUCUGGUUACUGUCAUGAUCAUGUCCCGACCUCCUAGAUUAAAGACAUCAAUAAAUCUCGACUUUGUGCUUACUUUCUUGAUCUUGUCAUGACCUCUUAGAUUAUAUAUAGACAUCAAUAAAUCUCAAUAUUUUGAGUAGCGAACAUAGAGACCCUGCCACCCUGGACAUCUGUAAUUCUAUGAGUGGCUUUUGUGCUUCUGCAUGGUAAUUGCUAAAGACUAGUAACAUUGAGCAGUUAAUGGAAGCUUCCUUGGGCAGGCGACAAAUUCCUAGAAACCGAACCGGCUAGCAUAAAGCAAAUAAUUGCGGUAAUGGUUGCUUCUUGCAAAUAUACUACUGCUAGCCCUAGCCACGAUACAUGGUCAAGGAUAGAACAAAUUGCUAUAGAGGAUUCAGCUUUAUGUUGAUUCUGCAGAAAAAUAUGCAGCACCUAUUUUAGACAAAUCCAUUUGACCAACAUUGUACAGCCUGCUUGGGAAAUAGCCAAACCAAAGAGAAACUUGAGUAAAUGAUGUAUUAUUAUUCUCUGAAAACUCAUUUGGGUGCCUCGGAGUGGAGCAAGCAAGCAUUUUAAAACAUAUCAAGCCGAGUAAACAAAGAUGCUCUACACUAAAGUCUCAUGCAGCUACAAGGUUAAGCUAUCUAGAUACUGGAUUAAAAUCUACUCAUGCUGCCAUAGCACCCUCUGCAUGACUUCUGGCUUUCCUUCUUGGUGAGCUUGAGGAAAUAGCUGACCCUUGGCCUUGCAAUCUCGGCCUCCUUAUUUCUCGGACUACCACAGUCAGUCUACACUCUGGUCUCACUUUUAACCCACAUUUCCCUUUAUCAUGGUAAUUUAUCCUCUUUUUGAAGAGUCCCUUUCCGACAAAUGCCUAG
rnacentral:lncRNA from 1 species